CGGAGGCAGCAGUGAGGAAUAUUGCGCAAUGUCCGAAAGGGUGACGCAGCGACGCCGCGUGGAGGAUGAAGGCCCUAUGGGUCGUAAACUCCUUUUGAGGGGGAAGAAUAGUCCCGUAUACUGGGAUUUGACGGUACCCCUAGAAAAAGCACCGGCUAACUACGUGCCAGCAGCCGCGGUAAUACGUAGGGUGCGAGCGUUGUCCGGAAUCACUGGGUGUAAAGGGAGCGCAGGCGGGUCGGCAAGUCAUUGGUGAAAUCCGGAGGCUUAACCUCAGGACUGCCAAUGAUACUUCCGAUCUUGAGUGCAGAAGAGGAAGACGGAAUUCCUGUGUAGCGGUGAAAUGCGUAGAUAUCAGGAAGAACACCGGUGGCGAAGGCGGUCUUCUGGUCUGUAACUGACGCUCAUGCUCGAAAGCGUGGGGAGCAAACAGGAUUAGAAACCCGGGUAGUCCU
rnacentral:rRNA from 1 species